CACGUAGGGCGCGAGCGUUGUCCGGAAUUAUUGGGCGUAAAGAGCUCGUAGGCGGCCUGUUGCGUCCGCUGUGAAAGCCCCGGGGCUUAACCCCGGGUCGGCAGUGGAUACGGGCAGGCUAGAGGUAGGUAGGGGAGAAUGGAAUUCCCGGUGUAGCGGUGAAAUGCGCAGAUAUCGGGAGGAACACCGGUGGCGAAGGCGGUUCUCUGGGCCUUACCUGACGCUGAGAGCGAAAGCGUGGGGAGCGAACAGGAUUGAGAACCUAC
rnacentral:rRNA from 1 species